UCAGGAUGAACGCUAGCGGCAGGCCUAACACAUGCAAGUCGAGGGGCAGCGGGGAAAAGCUUGCUUUUCCGCCGGCGACCGGCGCACGGGUGCGCACCGCGUAUGGAACCUGCCUUGUACAGGGGAAUAGCCCAGGGAAACUUGGAUUAAUGCCCCGUAGUACCGUAUUUCGGCAUCGUUAUACGGUUAAAGCCUUCGGGCGGUACAAGAUGGCCAUGCGUCCCAUUAGCUGGAUGGUAAGGUAACGGCUUACCAUGGCUACGAUGGGUAGGGGCCCUGAGAGGGGGAUCCCCCACACUGGUACUGAGACACGGACCAGACUCCUACGGGAGGCAGCAGUGAGGAAUAUUGGACAAUGGAGGAGACUCUGAUCCAGCCAUGCCGCGUGCAGGAAGAAUGCCCUAUGGGUAGUAAACUGCUUUUAUACGGGAAGAAAAAGAGCUACGUGUAGCUUACUGACGGUACCGUAAGAAUAAGGACCGGCUAACUCCGUGCCAGCAGCCGCGGUAAUACGGAGGGUCCGAGCGUUAUCCGGAAUUAUUGGGUUUAAAGGGUCCGUAGGCGGGCCGAUAAGUCAGGGGUGAAAGUCUGCCGCUCAACGGUAGAACUGCCUUUGAUACUGUCGGUCUUGAGUUAUAGUGAAGUUGCCGGAAUAUGUAGUGUAGCGGUGAAAUGCAUAGAUAUUACAUAGAACACCGAUUGCGAAGGCAGGUGACUAACUAUAUACUGACGCUGAUGGACGAAAGCGUGGGGAGCGAACAGGAUUAGAUACCCUGGUAGUCCACGCCGUAAACGAUGGAUACUAGCUGUCCGGAACCUUGAGUUCUGGGCGGCCAAGCGAAAGUGAUAAGUAUCCCACC
rnacentral:rRNA from 1 species